CUGCAGCUGGGCCUGGAGGCAGUGGCUCUACAGCAGCAGUGAGAGCCGAGCUGUGGCAGACACAUGCUCUUCCCCUGACUCACGGCUGCCCAGUUCCCUCCAGCGAGGCUGCUGACCUAUUUUUCUAUUAGGAACAACCAGCCAAUGUGAUAAUGAGGAAAAUGUAUUCUGGCCCCUAUGAAGUUUAGUGAAGCCCGAAUGAAGUGGAGGAGGCCACGGAGAUGCACGAGGAAGAGCAUUCCAGGCAGAGGGAACAGCGAGGACAAAAGCCCCCGGGCAGGAAUGGGUGUGCAAGCCUGAGAUCCAACAUGGCGGAGAGCAAGCCGGAAGUGCUGCGCGGGGAUCCUAAGGGAGCACUGAACAGGACAAGCUCAGUUUUGUCCCUCAAACCUCCACAAUCAGUGUCUUCCAGCCCCCUCGUUUCUGAUGAGAAGUUAGCAGCCAUUCCAGGCUUUUCCUUCUGUUGUCUGGCACUGGUGGGUUCUUGGUCUCAUUGACUUCAAGAAUGAAGCCGUGGACCCUUGCGCUAUUUUACAUAAGGAAAGUGGGUGGUGAUUAACCUCAGAGUCUCCAGGGACAGACUAUCCAGGACUGUGCCUGAAAUAGAAGAGGAAUUAACAUCAUACAGAACUGAAUACGGUGACUGAGGGGAGUUUGUGUCUCCCCUUUUAGGAAAGAAGAUGAGAAUAAGUAUGAAGGAGAGUCAUGUACUGUACAUUAAGCAAAAGCAUGAUGCUGUUAUUUGAAAUGUUAAUUAGAGGUGCCCACUAAAAACUGCUCAGCAAUUUUCUUGGAGACCUCAGUGCUCAUGUUAUUCUUUCCUCUAUCUUAUGUUUUCCUCUCUCCUGCCCUUUUCAGAAACAGUCUACAGC
rnacentral:lncRNA from 10 species